UACGUAGGGUGCGAGCGUUGUCCGGAAUUAUUGGGCGUAAAGAGCUCGUAGGCGGUCUGUCGCGUCUGCUGUGAAAUCCCGAGGCUCAACCUCGGGCCUGCAGUGGGUACGGGCAGACUAGAGUGCGGUAGGGGAGAUUGGAAUUCCUGGUAUAGCGGUGGAAUGCGCAGAUAUCAGGAGGAACACCGAUGGCGAAGGCAGAUCUCUGGGCCGUAACUGACGCUGAGGAGCGAAAGCGUGGGGAGCGAACAGG
rnacentral:rRNA from 1 species